rnacentral:tRNA from 2 species
GCCCCUGUAGCUCAGUGGAAAGAGCGUCCGGCUACGAACCGGAAGGUCGCAGGUUCGACUCCUGCCAGGGGUA